GGAUGUAGCUCAGUGGUAGAGCACUUGUUUACUAAAUGUGAUGCCCUAGGUUUGAUCCCCAGUACCA
rnacentral:tRNA from 1 species